AAAAAAAAUCAGAUUCUACCUCGUUUUUAAAAAUUCAUCACUCCUUCGUUACUUGGUAUUUUUAUACCAAACUAGUGGUGUUAGAUAGUCUCAUAAGUUAGCUAGUGAAUGAACUUAGAAUCAUAUCAAUCCAAUAUCGGUAAAUUUUAUAUGUUGCAUAAAGUAAACUGCACUAAAUAGAGUCGUCGUAUUCCCAGCUUCUGCCUUGACUUCAAAAUUUCCUAACUCAACUGUUACUUUGAAUUUUUGGAUGAAACCAAUUGGAUCUUAUAGUCUCACGGAUUAGCUACUGAAUAAAUUUGAAAUCAUGUGGUUUUGACGUCCAUGGAAUUUUACAUGUCAUUUUAAGUGAACUGCACAUGUUUACCUUUCAAUCGGGUUGCUGCUAAGUUUUGAGAAAUAUUUUAAUAUCUCAUAUGAUGCUGAUAGAAGCUAUUUUUUGACUAUGUCAUAUUAGAAGGAGUUUACUAUUUCACAUUAAAAUUUGAUGAAAUUUCAAGGUCGAUAGCUAUACAAACGAAUUUAUUGACACUUACCCAAUGAGAUAGAAAAAGAAAACAGCCUUGUUUAGCUAGUGUUAAUGGGAUUUUGGGAAAUAUUUUAAUGCCUUAUAUGUCACUCCUUAAAAUUUUAUGAAAUUUUGACAAUGAUAACUAUGCAAACAAGUUUAUUUUAUAAUUUUAUAGUAAAC
rnacentral:lncRNA from 1 species